GACCUUGCAUCAGCCAGAUCUAUUAAUUAAGCUAUAUGGUGCCAUGCAGUGAAAACUUAAAGCUUGUCAUGGUUCUGACCUCUAUGAAAAGAAUAUGACUUUUAGUGUAGGUUUGACUUUAGACACUAAAAACUAGCUGUCUAAAACUAAGGUAAACCAAGCUGGUAAUCUGCACUCCCAGAACAGCAUAUGAAGACAGAAAAGGCCCUUCCAGAGAAAAACUUAGGUGCCUAAGGAUCCCCAAAUCUGGCAGCCCUGAGGGGACAGGCUGAUGUAUGGAUCGGUGCAGGAUCCAGGGGAAUGGGAAUGGAGAGACUCUCCCAUCCACUUUGGACGACAAAUUGUGGAAGCUUCCAAGUUUAUUAAAACCUCUCCUUCAAAGGAACAUGUGAGCCCUAUCUCACAUCCAAGUGACAGUCUUCCUCUGACUUCUCUGGAGUUGUCAGUGAAAAUCCAAAGCCUUCAUCUUUACCCAUUUGACCUACCCUGCGGGUUUGUCCAUGUCUCACUAUCUGGAGAAGAAGGGACCCCUGAUUAAAAGGUAUGUUGGGGCAUUGGUCAACACAAAGCCAAGGGUCUCAUUUCCUCCUGCAUUAAUAUCUCACUACUGUUAAUUGCAGUUACGGGUGGAUAGGCAAUACUGGAGAACAGAGGACAUGAUUGCUUUGCCAUUACUGAUUACCUCACAUCACACAUUCAAAACGAAUUUGCUUGUCCCUGCAGUCCUUGGCUCAGAGAAAAAAAAAAAAAAAAAAAAAACUAGGGGGGAAAAAAAGCCUGUUGUUACUGACAGCUGCUCUUCAAAGGUCAAGGUUUACAAUAGUUGGAGCACUGCAGGUCACGGCUGAUGUGAACUGCACAGAGAAACUCUUCUUGCCCUCCCUGCAGCUUGACUGUAACGA